CUGGAGUCUGCAACCCGACUCCACGAAGUUGGAUUCGCUAGUAAUCGCGCAUCAGCCGUGGCGCGGUGAAUACGUUCCCGGGCCUUGUACACACCGCCCGUCAAGCCAUGGGAGCCGGGGGCGCCUGAAGUCCGGGACCGCGAGGACCGGCCUAGGGCGAAACUGGUGGCUGGGGCUAAGUCGUAACAAGGUAGC
rnacentral:rRNA from 1 species